CAGUGAGGAUUGACAGAUUGAGAGCUCUUUCUUGAUUCUGUGGGUGGUGGUGCAUGGCCGUUUUUAGUUGGUGGAGUAAUUUGUCUGGUUAAUUCCGUUAACGAACGAGACCUUAACCUAUUAAAUAGUCGUGGGAACCCAGGUCUUUCAUCCUCUUUCUCAGCAAUGGGGGGAGGAAACCAUUAUCAUAUUGGUACCCUCUGGGUAUCAUGUGGUAGUGGUGAGGAUCUGAUAGUGUUCUUAUAGGCUUCUUAGAGGGACUCUUUGCAUCUUUAGCAAAUGGAAGUUUGAGGCAAAAACAGGUCUGUGAUGCCCUUCGAUGUUCUGGGCUGCACGCGCGUUACAAUGACGCAUGCAACGAGUUAUUAAAUUCCUGGCCCGAUGGGGUUGGGUAAUCUUUUUAAAGUGCGUCGUGAUGGGGAUAGAGCAUUGCAAUUAUUGUUCUUGAACGAGGAAUUCCUAGUAAUUGCAGGUCAUCAACCUGCGAUGAUUACGUCCCUGCCCUUUGUACACACCG
rnacentral:rRNA from 1 species